AAAGAAACUAACAAGGAUUCCCCUAGUAACUGCGAGUGAAGCGGGAAAAGCUCAAAUUUAAAAUCUGGCAGUCUUUGAUUGUCCGAGUUGUAGUCUGGAGAAGCGUCUUCCGCGCUGGACCGUGCACAAGUCUCCUGGAACGGAGCGUCAUAGAGGGUGAGAAUCCCGUCUUUGGCACGGACUACCAGUGCUUUGUGAUGCGCUCUCAACGAGUCGAGUUGUUUGGGAAUGCAGCUCAAAAUGGGUGGUAUACUCCAUCUAAAGCUAAAUAUUGGCGAGAGACCGAUAGCGAACAAGUACCGUGAGGGAAAGAUGAAAAGCACUUUGGAAAGAGAGUUAAACAGUACGUGAAAUUGCUGAAAGGGAAACGCUUGAAGUCAGUCGCGUUUGCUAGAACUCAGCCUUACCUCGGUUUGGUGCAUUUUCUAGUAGACGGGCCAGCAUCAUUUUUGGCUGCGGGAUAAAGGUUUCAGGAAUGUGGCACCUUCGGGUGUGUUAUAGCCUGGGAUUGUAUACCGUGGCUGGGAGUGAGGACCGCAGCACGCCAUUAUGGCCGGGGUUCGCCCACGUUCGUGCUUAGGAUGCUGG
rnacentral:rRNA from 1 species